UCAGACGAUGCGUCAUGCAUAUCAAUAAGCGGAGGAAAAGAAACUAACAAGGAUUCCCCUAGUAACGGCGAGUGAAGCGGGAAGAGCUCAAAUUUGAAAUCUUGAAGGGUUUCCCUUUACGAAUUGUGGUUUAAAGAAGUGUUUUCUGUUGAGGUUUUGGUAAAAGUUCUUUGGAAUAGGACACCAUAGAGGGUGAGAAUCCCGUAUUUGACCUUUACUUUCAACUUUGUGAUACACUUUCAAAGAGUCGGAUUGUUUGGGAAUGCAGUCCAAAAUGGGUGGUAAAUUUCAUCUAAAGCUAAAUAUUGGCGAGAGACCGAUAGCGAACAAGUACCGUGAGGGAAAGAUGAAAGGAACUUUGAAAGGAGAGUUAAACAGUACGUGAAAUUGUCAAAAGGGAAGCGUUUGACACCAGUGUUGUUUUUCUGAAAAUCAAUUAAAGAACUGUUUAUGCUAAGUUGUUUAGACUUUAUCAGCUAACUGUUUAGUUUUGAGCUUUUCUUUAAUGCACUUUUCAGUUAACAAGUCAACAUCAAUUUCUUUUGCUGUAAAAAAGCUUGAGGAAGGUGGCUUGAGAUUCGUCUUAAGUGUUUAUAGCCUCUUGCCUAUGCAGUCGGAGAGAUUGAGGUCUGCAGCGUAGAUCCUUCGGGGCUAAAUGCAUUUGUGCUAAGUUAUAGCAUUUUAUAGACAACUUGUUGACUAUGAUUUGUCUUGUAGCUUACUCGCUUAUGUUAUUUUACCUACGCUUAGGAUGUUGAAUCUGUGCGAGACUAC
rnacentral:rRNA from 1 species